UUUAACUGUGAUGAGUUCUUAACAGACCUGUAAUGAUUUGCGGGAAUGAUCGCAGAUUUAUUGAACAUCUAAGGGGCUGAGUUAAC